rnacentral:rRNA from 1 species
AGAGUUUGAUCCUGGCUCAGGAUGAACGCUAGCGGCAGGCUUAACACAUGCAAGUCGAGGGGUAACAUUAUGCUUGCAUAGAUGACGACCGGCGAACGGGUGCGUAACGCGUAUAGAAUCUGCCUUGUACAGGAGGAUAGCCUUUAGAAAUGAAGAUUAAUACUCCAUAAUGUAGUGCUUCGGCAUCGGAACACUAUUAAACAUUUAUGGGUACAAGAUGACUAUGCGUCCUAUUAGCUAGAUGGUAAGGUAACGGCUUACCAUGGCAACGAUAGGUAGGGGGUCUGAGAGGAUUAUCCCCCACACUGGUACUGAGACACGGACCAGACUCCUACGGGAGGCAGCAGUGAGGAAUAUUGGUCAAUGGAGGCAACUCUGAACCAGCCAUGCCGCGUGCAGGAUGACUGCCCUAUGGGUUGUAAACUGCUUUUAUACAGGAAGAAACCGAUCUACGUGUAGAUCCUUGACGGUACUGUAAGAAUAAGGACCGGCUAACUCCGUGCCAGCAGCCGCGGUAAUACGGAGGGUCCGAGCGUUAUCCGGAAUCAUUGGGUUUAAAGGGUCCGCAGGCGGUCAAUUAAGUCAGAGGUGAAAUCCCAUCGCUCAACGAUGGAACUGCCUUUGAUACUGAUUGACUUGAGUUAUAUGGAAGUAGAUAGAAUAAGUAGUGUAGCGGUGAAAUGCAUAGAUAUUACUUAGAAUACCGAUUGCGAAGGCAGUCUACUACGUAUAUACUGACGCUGAGGGACGAAAGCGUGGGGAGCGAACAGGAUUAGAUACCCUGGUAGUCCACGCCGUAAACGAUGGAUACUAGUUGUUGGACUUCGGUUCAGUGACUAAGCGAAAGUGAUAAGUAUCCCACCUGGGGAGUACGGUCGCAAGACUGAAACUCAAAGGAAUUGACGGGGGCCCGCACAAGCGGUGGAGCAUGUGGUUUAAUUCGAUGAUACGCGAGGAACCUUACCAGGGCUUAAAUGUGGUCUGACAGCUUUAGAGAUAGAGUUUUCUUCGGACAGAUCACAAGGUGCUGCAUGGUUGUCGUCAGCUCGUGCCGUGAGGUGUCAGGUUAAGUCCUAUAACGAGCGCAACCCCUAUU